UCGACUGCAAUUUACAAACAAAACCCCAAAACAUUAAAGUAAAUCGCAAAGCAAAAAACGAUGAACACGAGUGUAACGACCGUAACCCUGGGUUUAUAAUUAAAUAUAGGGUUUUUGAUUAGAAUGGUUACUUAUAUCACAAGAAAAGAGGAAUAAGGCACCUUAUCAUAUUGAUCACGUGCUCCAUAUCACCAACCCACACGAAACGUCAACAGCGUAGCAUCGAUGGCUCUCCGACAACAUGGAUCAAUUACGGUGAAAAAGGUGGUGGCGAACGUCGCAAAGUUAAGCGCUUUCCAAUCUAAGAAGAUUGAAGAUCACUACAAAAAGUAAAUAAUGAACGGUUAAGGAAUCUUAAACCAUACUAAAACAAAACAGCAAAGAGGAUGAAGAAAGCAAACCGAUCGUUCAAUUUCACGCAAGAACAGGACAAGAACAGAAGAAAAACAAAUUUACGAUUUAGAGAUUUACAAUUUCUUUUCGGGGAGGAGCCGCGCCGGAAGGAGACUCGUCUCGAAGAACCGCCAUCCCUAAGAUUGCUCCGCGCGCCGUCGCGGAAUCCGUCGAAGAAGAAUCGGAAGAAGGAAACCUUAGGUCCCACUAUCUAAGAGAAAUCGGGAAAAAGAAAAAUUUCCAGAGGUUGGAUUCUUGUUCUUGAUGAUGAUGAUGAUGGUUUGAUGCAGAUGGGUUUUUGGUAAAGUUCGAUCCUUUAAUGAUUGAUUGAUCAUACCUUUGCAAACUGACUAUUUCAAGAAUGUCGGCUUGUACAACUCAUCGAAGAACUGUAGUUAUCUCCCGAAUAUUCACCCAAAAAACCCUAAAACUAAAAGUAGUUUCUCUGCUUUUAUUUAUAUGUAUCGUCAUUGCAUCUUCAAGAAAAACACGGAUAGAAUUUUAAAAAGAUAGCAGCAACGGAUAUAUUUACAAUCGGACGGCCUUGUAUUAUCCACGUCGGACACGCACACCAUUUAACUUCGUCCGCAAGGUUUUGUCUACCUAGCAGAUUUAAGUGGAUUUCAAAUGUAGGCCUAACAGAGUUUAAAACUUGGCCCAAUAAGACAAAAAAAUUAAGAAAGAGGAUUUACGUUUUGUUAGUCUAAAGUUAUACUGUGACGUAUACAAAAUUAAUCACAUCACCGCUUGAAUCCAAUUGCAAUCGCUUCUCGCUUACCACCUGUCAAUUAAUACAGGUUGUAAUCUCUAGGGGAUGUUGCACGUCUAGACGUUGAAAUGUUCAUGGUGAAGAUUUUCACUUUAAUGAAGAAAUGGAUGAUAUUGCUUUCCUUGAGUUUGAUUCUUUGUUUGGGUUGAAAAACCUAUCGACCCCAGAAAGAGUAGCACAACAAUUGGGGAAAGAUAUUUUUAUUAUUUCAGUUUCAGUACUCUCUUUUACUUCUCUUCCUCUUCACUCAUGUUCCGUCUCCUUUUAUUAGAACAGGAUUUGAAGGCCCCGGCCUUACCGCUCCUCAAAAGAUUUGGUUCUGUCUUGCUUCCGUUGGUGGUCAGUACAUAGGCAUGUAUAAAGCUGCUUCUUUCCUUAGCUUUUUGUCAUAUCUUUAUGCAUGGACUUGUUCAUCUUGUCUACAUAUAUAUCCUGAAAAAUCAUACAUUCCUGCCAGUAAACGUCUCACAACCAUUGAACUCUGAUGAAAUGCUUCUAAGAUUAAGCUAUAUUGGUUUCUAAUUGCUAAGACCUUGACACUGCAUGUGGCUUUUGAGUUCACAAUGUAGUUGUGAAACGAGAACCCAUGUUGGGCUCAAUUGAUGAGGCUGUGUAGUUGCUUGUUAGUUGUUAGCAAUGCACGUGUUGAUCUAAUGGGUUAAAUAGUGAAAUGUCUUACUGUUCUCUGAUGUCGUAAAUAACCUGUCACUGUUAAGAGCUAGGUUUGUCUAUAGGAGCCUGUCAGCUUCGAUUACAUGAAUCGCCAUAUAUUCUUAAUUAGCGAAGCAUAUUGAUCCAUAGAGAUACAUUGUUUAUAACAAAGAAGACCAUCAUCUUCCGGCAAUGUUUUCUUUCACAAACAGAAAUAUAUUUGGAUUAUCUUGCAGGUUUUAGACCAAAAAAGCUUUGAAAAAUGCCAAAUCAGAAGCAUUAUUACUAGCAAUAGAUAUUCAGCAAUGUAUAACACAAGCAUUGCAAUAAAAUAGUAGGUUUUCUUGAAAAACAUAUAGUUGUAUCAGCCAUAGAUCGAGUGAAACCAUCAGCUAAGAAUACAGAGGUGAAAUUCUGGAUCCAUUGUCUAGAGGCUUACUGUAAAUCAUAUAUGAUCAAUUACGGAAACAAUAUUCAUCAUCUGAAAGUAGGGAAUCAGGGGUAUUGGAA